AUAUUAUAAUUUAUUUAAUAAUAUUUAUUUUGUAGUUUAUUUUAUGAUAGAAAUAACUUUAUUUUUAGUAUUUUUUAAAGAAUAAAUAUAGUUUAUUUAUAGUUUAUUUUACUGUAAAGGUUUAUAAUAUUAUGAUUUAUAAGUAGAAUUAAUUUUUUGUACCUUUUGUAUCAGGGUUUAUUUAUAAAUUUCUAAUUAUUAUUGGUUUUCCCGAAUUUAAAGGAGCUAUUUAAUAUUGUUAUUUAGUGUUUCAAAAUUAUUAAUUAAUUUUAAAUAGUUGUUAUAUGCUAUUCAUCUUUAAAUAUCUGGUUUCUUAAUAAAUGAAUUUAAUUCAGGAUUACUAAAUUUCCAAUAAAUCAAUUUAUUUUUUUUGUUUUUAGUAAUUUAAUAUUUAAGGGGAUAAGCUCUUGAAUGUUUCUAUAAAAUAUAAUUUAUUUUAAUAUUAAGUAGGAUUGAUAAUUUCCAUCUUUUAUUUUGUUAUAAUUAUAUAUUUUUAAUUUUUAAUUUAUUUCAUGUUUUUAGUUUUUUAUUAGGAAUUAUUAAUUUAUUUUUAAUUAAUAGUUAUAAUGAUGGAAUUAGUAGAUUUUUUAAUUAAUGUACAGUAACUCGGCAAAUUUAUUUUUCACCUGUUUAACAAAAACAUGUCUUAAUGUUUUUUAUUAUUAAGUCUGGCCUGCUCAAUGAUUUUAUUAAAUAGCCGCAGUAUUUUGACUGUGCGAAGGUAGCAUAAUCAUUUGUCUUUUAAUUGAAGGCUUGUAUGAAUGGUCGGAUGAAAAAAUAACUUUCUUUACAUUAAAUGUUGAAUUUAAUUUUUUGGUUAAAAAGCUAAAAUAAUUGAAUGGGACGAGAAGACCCUAUAGAAUUUUAUUAAAUUGUAGUUUUGAAUUUAUUGGUUAAUUAUUAUUUUUAAUUAUAAUUUUAAUUUUGUUGGGGUGACAUUGAGAUUUAUUUAACUCUCAUAAUAUAAAGUUUAUUUAUUUAUAUAUAAAAGAUCCUAUUUUAUGGAUUAAUAGAUUAAAUUACCUUAGGGAUAACAGCGUAAUUUUUCUGGAGAGUUCUUAUCAAUAGAAAAGUUUGCGACCUCGAUGUUGGAUUAAAAUUAGAUUUAAGUGCAGAAGCUUAAUUUUCUAGGUCUGUUCGACCUUUAAAUUUUUACAUGAUCUGAGUUCAGACCGGCGUGAGCCAGGUCGGUUUCUAUCUUUUUAAUUAUUAUUGUAAAUUAGUACGAAAGGACCAUUUACUUCAAAUAUUUUGUUUUAUUAUUUGUAUAUUUUUAA
rnacentral:rRNA from 1 species